UUAGGAUUGGGAGAUCUCUGGAAUUAUUCAUGGCAUUUGAGAGGAUACCAAAAGUGAUUUUGAGAAAGAUACUCAAAGUUAAGUCUUUACCAGAGACUUUACCUGGAAAUCAAUGAAGAGGAAACAGGCUGUGUUAAGAAAGCAUAUUUGGAUACACUCAGGAAGAUGCCAAGACUGAGCAAGGAGGUCCUCGUCCCUUGUCCCCCAAUGAAAACAUAGUGACGUUUCUGUGAUGCCCCUGCCCGCUCCUGCAGAAGAUUGGCAGCAUCAGCCUUGGGACGUCAGAGAAGAUCAUGGGAUGAGCCAGAGAAAUGUUAUGGAAAACUAGCAAAUUACCAUACUAGAAGAACUCUAUAAGAUAUGUAAUGUUCCCAAACAAGAACAUGGAGCCUUUAUCCUGUGACAUCAAGAAAGUGAAGCAGCAUGCUGUCAGAUUUGAAAAGUGCAGCAACAAUGAAGAUAGGCUGACAUCACAAGAAGCCAGUGUAGUUUGGUAUUUGGCUCAGGAAAAAAAGCUUCUGGAUUGCAGGUAGACGCAGAACAAAGGAGAUAAAGAAUAGAACAAAAAACAAAGAAAAUGAAUCAUGGUGUCUUUCUUCACUGAAGCUAAGAUGAGUGGAAGCUAGAAGAGAUUGUGGUCAAGUGGGAAUUCUCUGACAAAAUGUCUCUGUACCAGGAAAGAUGUGGCAAGAUACUACAGUUCUUCACAGCUCCAAAGCACUACCUACAAUAUGAUGGAUACAGAUGUCUGGCUCCUUAGUGUUUCAAAUUUUUUAGCUCAUUCACCAAACCAGUGAGGAACUGCAUUGUAUGAAGUUCUAUAAAUUGAAAAACUGAGCAAGAGCCACUAAGGAAAUCAGAUGUGUUCGAUGACAAAUGUUCAUUUAUUGUUCAUUAACAGAGGGCUACGCCUCAAAUGAGACUGUGCCUGACUGACUAGUUCUGUAAUUUGGAGCAGCCGUGGCCGCACGGAGAAGGGAAUUAGACUCCAGCAUUGGGGAAACUAAUCAGGUAACUGUGUUUAGAGCUUCCUUUUAUUUUUUUCCUUAACUGUUUGCUUUUGUACUAUCUAAAAAGAGAUGAUGUAUUCAAACAUGUGGGAAGUUAUGCUUCUGUUCAGUUUCUCUUCUGUGUCUCCCUCUCCUACUUCAUCCUCGCAUGACACACUAAAAUAGAAAAUCGAGACCCGAGAAGGGGUUUGUUUAAAUCUCUGGGGAGUCAGCAGGAGUGUUAGGAAAGCAGUAGGAGAGUGGGUGAGGAAGGGCUACCCCCUCUACUGAAUAGAAGUCAAGACAGGGGCCAAGGGAAAUGCUCCAGCAUGGCGAAGAGAAGAUAUGGUGCUAGAUUCUGCACUGAUCAAAAGACACUUAGUUUGUGACACCCAUACACAGCUGCUGGGGAUUCAUUGAAACAAGGAUCUUUCUAUCGGGACAGUCCAAUAGAUUGCUUUUAGACAGCUGGGUUUAAGCUCUAAAUUCCCAGCUAAGCAUUUGAAUGCUACCCCAUACCUAUGUAGUUACUCAGCCAAAGUUGACAACUCUACUAUUUAAAAUACAAGGCAAGAUUUUAUUUAAAACUUUAUUAGUGUUCUUUUUUCUAACUGUGUAUUUUUAUAAUGCUAAGGGUAGACCUUUUUUCAAAAGAAACAAUUUUAUGCAAAAAGCCACAAACCAUAAAACUUUAGCAAGUGAUAUUAAUUAGAACAUGAAAGAAUGAUCAAAUUAUUCUUCUCUAUAAUGAAAAUAUAUAGAAGUGAUAUGCAAUGAUGAGUUAAAACAGAAACACUACAAAAUCUACUGCUCUACAUUAAAUGGAUUUGAUGAAACAGAAUCACUAGAUGCCUAGGCCAUUUGCAGAGUUGAAAAAAGAAAGGUAUUUUCUGGAUCACUUAAAUGAACAUGACUGAAAACAUUCUGUGUCUGAACAAGGGAAAAAAAAAAUCUUUUGCAACGAAGCUGCAAAUCAGAUAAACAUUCAAUUGUCUUGAGUGUUGAUGUAUGGUUUCCCAUCCUACCAAAAGGAUAUAUUUGGAUGUGUAUUUAGUUCUUACUGUUAUUGUUGAUGAUUUUUAUCCGAUGUAAGGUAUAAUUUUUGUUCACCAUAUAAAUAUAUAACAUUUUUAAGGCUAAUAAGUAAAAAGAAGUAAACUGUAGCAUGAAUAUAUGAAACUUUAUUUCAGAAAAAAGCACAUCACUGAAUAAAAUAGCAAAGGUGUUCUCACCGUCUUUCAUGUGUCUGAGUUUGGAGCAGUGUUUUAUAGCUGGAGAAAAGAAAGUCUUUCAGCUUUUAACUAGCUCUUCAAGGUUUUGGGCUUUUGGGCGCUUUUUUUGGCAUCCAGCUUGAAAGACUUUUUUUCCUUUUGCCCUUGUCUACGUUGAAUUGCCAGUGAAUUUUCUGCCUUGUUAUACAAAGUGUUUUUUAAAAUGCUCAAAAUGGGAUGCCCUUUUAAAGUGUACACCCUGCUGCUUUCUGAGGACGAGGGUAAAGUUUCAUUCUUAAUGCCUCUGAAAUUCAGUGGGAGCCACUGCUUUUUGCAGUGUUCCUGCAAGCAUGGGGCACUGCUGUGUAACCAUUAAUUCUGAACAGCAAAUUACUACCAAUCAGAACUAUACUACCAUUUUGUUAAUGCUAAGCUGUUUUUUUAGUCCAUUUCUGUAUAGUUCUACCCUUUAGGCUGCAGUUGGAUCUCAUUUUAGGCAAAUGUCAUGACCUACGAUGCCACGGUGUGGUUAAGAUAUGCAAAUAUUGACUUUUUAAUUGAGAUAGCUUUAUUGAUGUUAAAAUAUUACAUGUGUUUGAUUAUUCGUUUAUUAGGUCUUGUUCAGGCAAAGCUGUACAUAUUUAAUUAUUUCAAGUUUCCUCGAUGAAUCAGUCCCUCCAAACUGGUAAUUAAUUUAGAUGGCAUUCUCUGAACUCUGAACUCCUUGCAAUAUAUCAUCUUCUUGCUGCUGCACUGCACAGGAAAGUGGAGUUUUGGCAAUGCCCCAUGAACAGAAGCCAUUAAUCAUCCCUGUGUAAUGCCUGUGUAUAGGCAACCAAAUCUAACAGUAGCUUUACUGCAUCCAAUAGCGUAAAUGUUAGAAACAAAAGGGUCAAACUCAGCUGAAAUCUGAAGUAUUUUGUCUAAAAAUAAUUAGUCAUGUUUCCAAAAGGAAUGACCCUUAACGAUGUGAGGCUCUGCUGACUGAUGGCAGUCAUAUCUCAAAAGGGUAGUGGUCUGAAGGAUACUGAGUUUCCAAAAGGUUCAUUAAAAACGUGCCCUGACUCAGGCUAAGCUGUGAUCUCAGUUCCCACACAUACUAGAAUAUCUGUCUGUCUGAAAGAAAGCAACCGUGAGAAUCCCAGCAACAGGGAAAAAAAUAAAACCUUUCAUUUAAUUAGCAUCUUACUGAAAAAGAAUCCAGCUAGAAGACACAGAUCUAUGGGAACUAGGGAAAUAUAGCUGGAUCUUUAUAGAUCAAGUCCACCUUCCUGUCCCAAAGCAGGAUGAUUGAAAUCACUGGGGUUUUUUUUCUGUCAGAUAUUUGUUUAGCCUGCUAUACCUUUAAAAGACCUCCAAGAAUAGAAACUUCACCGUUCUCUCUGUGCUUCACUAUUUCUCAAAUGUCAAAAACUUUUUAACUCUCAGGCACCAUUGCGUCCAUUGCUUAUAGAGGUACUCUGAUAAGCAUUUUGGUAAUUUUAUCUUCCUGUCAGUCACCCUCCAGCACAAGGAAGAUAACGUGGGGGUUUUUUUUGCCCACUAUGAACCUCUAAUGGACCGAGUCAUCUAAUCCUUUUUGCCUUCUUCAUGUGAACAAAAGCUAGCAGAACACUACAGAUAAAAGGGGUACAGAAGAAUCUUUUGCUUCUAUAAUAGCUAUCUCCAUGAAAAUAAAGAGUCCAUUUUACAGUUGCAAGUGGAUGCUAGAUUGUGUGACCUGCAAAGGGUUGAAAUAGAAGCAGGGCAUACCGGUUCUCUUUUCACAAGCCUUUUUUCUCAAUCCAAUGAGGAAAUUAGUUGGAAAUGCAAGGAGACAGAGCAUGCGGUUUCCUGUAUGGCAUCACAUAUCCUGUGACGCACCAGUAAAGAUGCUCACCCUCAUAUUUUUGUGACCUACUAGAAAAUUAGAACAUUUGAUGCAGAGGGUUUUUGUAAACAUUGGUUUAAUGAUGCAUUUAACUGUUUACUGGUUAUAUUACAAUGCCAUUGAAAACUCUCAGCUCAGCCAAGGAGUGCCUUUUUAUUGUGAAUGUUUGACUUACGGCAGAACUUGCAAUCUCCUCUUGCUGUGCAAAGUCUCAACAGACAUGCAGGCAUACAGGAAAAACUUGCAAUUUUAUACACAGUGAACUGAAGAUGGCAAAUGCUGUGCCACAAAGGUAAUGAUGAGAAGACUCAAACUUUUAUUUUUUUAACACUGCAAUGAAGUACUUUUAGCACAAGACCUCGCUUUUUUGCAUUUAUGGAACCUACAUAAAGAUACACAGAAAUGCAUUAUCACUUUAUGAUUUCCACCCACAUACGAGUCUUGUUAGAAAUUAGACAAGAAAUAAAUAAAGCUACUGUUCUGCAAUCAGCUUACCUGGCACUUUUAUUGUGACACUGUGCCAAUCAUACUUUGAAUAUAUUUUCCAGCUGUUUCAUACGUUUAUCUCAUUGCACUCAAGAAGAGGGAAAUCACACUGGCAGACUUACCAGCUGUUCUUGGUGUUAUCUUGACUGGUUAUAAUGCUCAGUAGGGGAUAUUGUUCCUUCAUGAAUUAUGAAACUCUAAUACAGUUCAUUGUAUUGUGCAGUUUUAUAAAAUCUGCCAGGUGGCUGUUCUGUUCUUGUCUUAGAGCUUUGGUUAUCUUUCUAAGAACUCAUAAGUGUCUGAAUGUAUCUAGACUUCAGUAAAUAAAACCGCAGAGCCUUAUCAUUUGGAUAAUCUUUACAAACGUUGCGUGAUCUCUCGUGACCCAUAAACUUGCAUACUGUAAAAUAAUGCUUUACUGUUCAUUCUCAGUGCAGGUUUCCCUGCAGUUAUGCUUUGAAAGUGAGGUUUCAUUUCAUAUGUAUGUGUCUGCCUGCACAGAUGAAUGUGUGUGAAUAGCAAAGCCAUAGAAUGAAUUAAACAACAUUUAUCAUGUACUUUCAAUUUAUUUGCUUCCAAUUUGCCCAUUAAUCCAUUUUAAGAGGUACCUUUGAGACUAUCUUUUUAAAACUACAUAUUAAUGUGCAGAUUUCUUAUGGAUGUGAGGCAUACCGUAACUGCAUUUACAUUCAGAUAGGUGACUGAGGAUGAGAGGAAAUGGUAGUGAAGAUGGCUGUGUCGUGACUUUCCAGAGACAUAUUUUCAGGCAUUGGGAAUGUACCUGUGCAUUUUGGGCAGUAAAAGAGAAAUAAACAGUAUGAACCUUUCUGGGAUCAGAAGCAGUUUUAAUAUUAAAACAUUUGGCAUGGGGGGACCCAAACCCACAUCAACAACAAAACCUGAGGCACGCUGGAGGAGCUUGUCAGCAAUUGCCUUGAAAAGCCUUUUAUUAAUGGCUUAAUUAUAUUGCCCUCUGCUGGGAUUACAAAAGAUUGCAGCCUGAAGCUUAAAACGUGGAGGAAAAAAUAUCUGUAUGGAAGACGACCCAUGAGCUAGAAUUAAGCCGUAGUACACUGCUCAGCAGAGUGUUUCUGGGUUUGGAAUCCAAAGGGUACCUUGGGCUUUCUUCUACCUUGCAAAGGGAGUAUUCGUUUCCUCAGAGAAAAAUCUGUAUAGACAGGAGGGAGAUCCAAAGUUAAACUUGCCUUGAAUAUGGACUUUACAGUGUAUUCUUGAAAUUAUGGGAACAGGAGAAAAAAAAGAUCCCUGAGUUAUGUAGGCAGAUGAGUUUAUGGGUGAUGAGAGAACUGCUGUUUGAAAUUGUGAGGAAGAGAUCUGCUGGGGUCCUGUGCCAUAGAUCUUUUAUUUUUCCUGUUUGCAUUCAAAAUGAAUGGCCACAUUUUUAAAAAAAAAAGUUUUGUACCCACUGCAAUGUAUUCGGAUUUUUUUUUCACUAUUGUCCAGGAUUUCACUCACAUAAUUUUUCCUGUUAAAACUUACUCAAUGCAUACUUCAUGCUGCUGAAGUUAAUGGAAGAAAUGAAUCCUGCUUGUACGUAUUCAUAUCUUAAAAUGAGGAAGGAAUUUAAAUGUUUGUCUGAUCUUGUAUCCACAGUAGUGUCUUCAAAAUUCCCCCAGUCACAUUUAGGUGCCUAAAUUCUGCCCCCAUCACGUUGGCCAGAUGGCUCUGAAGGCACAGCUGUCACACUGGUAGGGAACCCAAGGCCCAAGAAAAUGACGUGGAAGGAGGGUGUACCCCCUUCCACACACAUGGGACACUGUGUACCAAUGGCAAUUCCUUUAUCUUUCCACCAUCAUCUAUUUUACAUUCCUAGAAAGUACUCAGGCUCAGAGCAAGGCCACAUAAACUCUGUCAGCUCUUUGACAGCAUAAUUGCCUACCUACUGUCUUCUGUCUGUUCCUCAAUUCACUGGCUUCAAAGGAAGUAUCACAGGCAGCAUAAUCAAAUGAGUCCGAGUAGUGAAUGGGGCCAUUGUGUAUCAUAAUGCUGACAGCGAGCUUCUCACAGUAAUUCUAUAUGCGAUCCAUACACUGAAUUAAAUUCUGAUCCUACUGGUGCUUAUGGGAGUUUACUACUGUCUUCUGUAGUUUCCCUCAGAGCUGGAGCGAACAGCAGAAAAAGUGAGCUGAAAGGUACUUCCUUGGUAGCCAGUGACCACGGAGACCACACAUUUAAAAAAAAAAAAAACAAAAAAAAACACCACAAACAAAACCCAAUACAACAGCUUACUGGGUAUUUAUUUGUCUUUCUAGAACCCGUGGUAGCACAACAACUGAUGUUAUAGCGAAGCUAAAGCUCUUACAGUUUUCUUGUGUAUCAAUUUUAGAGAAAAAAAACAGUUGGAAUGAGCUCAGUACAAGCAAUGUUAAUGUAAUCAGCUGUCUGUGGGCAUGGGAAAUAUGAUUGCACCAAGCAACCAAGAAAAAUGGCAGAGACUUGAGAAAAGAUGGGCACGAAGUGAGCGCUCGGAGCAAAACAAACGGACCUUGUCAUGUGCUCAGUACCAAGCAAGGCUCGGUGACACAGAGCAGCAAAAACGCGUAGCGAAAGCAGUCAGCAAACUAACAGAUAGCUUCCAUGACCCUGAGGCUAGUUACUCCCAUUGUCACAGCUUUGGUUGAAUGAGUUUUAUUUUUAACCUAAAACAUCAGUCAGGAAAUAACAGUCAGAAAUGUGCCAAGAUGCUGACUUUAUUGAUGUAGUUCUGACAUGGACAGAUUGACCUAAUGUGUUGGUUAAAGGAAGUUUUGCAUGCAGUUUUGAAAGGACUCGAUUACUGUAGAGUUGAGUUCACCGAUUUUACAUGCUGGAAUUAUUUCUGAAAGAAAACUUUCCGUACAAAGAAUUGGAGAAUGUGUGAAUUAUUCAUGGAAGCAACUUGAAGAUCAAGUUCUUUUUGUGUAAAAGAUUAAAGAAUAGGUCAGGACUCCUUGGUCUUGUAAGGUGCACUGGCAGUAGUUUUAUUCCAGCCACUUCAUUUGCAGUUUUCAUGUUCUCCUUUAACAGGUUAUUUCACAUUUUGAAAAUCAUAAGGAAGACACUGAAGCGCUGGCUCUUACAAAUUAAGCUGAUAACCCAAAGGGAGCCACGCUUCUGGAAAAUGUGCAGGGAGUUUACAAAUUGAGAAGUUGAAACCCACUGUUCUUACCUUACCUAUUUUUCUCCCAUCUCAUUGGGGAGCGCUAUUGCUUUGCCUCACUUUCUGGAUGAUGAGGAUCUCUCUUUGGUAGCUGCCAUCGCAUUUCUCACCAGUACAGGUGAGCCGCUAAGGUAAGUCUCUCCCUUCCUGGAGGAAAUAAUUUACACGCUUGAUUCUGCUGAACUCUGCUUUAGGUGACUUUGAAUAAAUGAGGUAGGAGGCUAGGAGGACUCACCUGUAGUUUUAAGGAAAUUGUACUGAUACUGUUUUUAUCUUAGCGUUUCAUAAAGCAUAUUUUGGUUGCUGUGAUAUUGCUGUCAAUAAAAUGUUAAUAUGCAGUAACUAUUUGCAUAACGAGUCAAAAUUGGAAAUGUAUUUUGAAAGUUUUUCAAAUACCUCUGCCAUUAGAACAACGUGAGAGGACACGUUACAAAAUUUACUAUAGUGAUCUGCUCAUAGCAACCUAAUGGAUUCCUGAAAAAUUGUGAUUUGAGACAAAAAUACAGAACUAUUUAUAUGUGCCUAGUUAUAGAGUUGGACGUUUUCAUAGACAUCUUGUCCUCUAAAAUGGGGGCAGUGGAGAGAGGAACAAAACGUCGUAUUCCUUCUCUGCUGCUUGAGCAAGCAGUGAGAAGCUACUGGAAAUAAACUGGUGUGUAAAAGAACACUGACCUCAACAGACUAACAGAUGAUGUUACUCCAAUUUUGGGCCCUUACUUUAAAAAAAAAAAAAAAAAAAGCUUUCUGUUUUACACUAAAAGUUUGAAAAUGAAUGAAAAUUCUAUUCUUCCUUCCUUAGAUUCUUGAGGAUGUUGUGGGUGGGGCAAAAACCUGAAAAUCCUGUUUUUGCUUUUAAAGUAAGAUUUCUGCUGGAGACUGAUAAAAUUCUAGGACGGUAUUCAGUAUAUUUAAUAAAAUAUUAAAAUUCUUUUUUUGUAAUUCAUUUUUGUUUUGGAAAAUUAUAUCUAGGCCUGUUCAUCAGUGUCUUUCACUUCAGUAGUCUUACAAAGAUAUAAAGGAUUUAUAUGGAUAAGUACAUUUAUAUGUGGCUUUUAUUUUUUUAAAAAAGCCCACACUUAGUAUUAAAAUGUCUUGAGUAAAGCACUGCAUGAUAUUUCUAUGCAGAGUUGGAGAUAUCAGUGAUUUCCAGCAUCAACUUUUUCUUCUGAUAUUUUAGUGACCUUUACAUUAAUUUUCUAUUUAAUGGAUUUUCAUAAAUUAUUUAGUUGUACGGUUAAAUACUGAGAGCAAUGUUAAUAUAAAAUACUAGUUUUUGUAAAAAUGGACUUUGUUUGUGGGGACUAACAAAGCUGUUUUUGGAAACAUCUGCUACUUGUGUUCUGAGAAAAUAGAAAUGGCACCUUUUUUAUUUGUCACAUACCAAUACAGAGCAGGCAUCCAAUGGUAAGUUUAAACUUGUGUAGUAAUGAAUGAACAGUAAAAUACAUUAUUGUGACAAAGAAUAAAAACAAGGUAAUUGAUCUUCACUAUGUCUCUUAGGACACUGAGCUUGGCUAAAAGAAGAAGAAAUGGCAAAUCCAAUAAUUAUUUAAGAAGCUGAAGAGAAUAGACUAAACAAAUGCCAAUUAGUGCAUGUUUUAGAUACGCUACUAGGCAGACGAGAUGAAAGUGUGCAUUUGUCAGCGUUAUUGUCCUUGGGAUCUGAAUUUUUUCCAGCAGUUUUAAGUAGAUGUUUUAGAAGUGAUGCACUAAUUUUGUAACACUUUGAAGAGUCUAACAGAGAUUGUGUAGGCACAGCUGAGAGGAAAAUUUUCAUAUGCUUGAGAAUAACCUUUUCUUUAUUUGAUGCCUAUCUACUUUGGUCCUCACAGUACAAGGAAUCUUCUUGUUUUAUCUGAACUUGAUUCCAAAUUCACUGAAGCAGGUAAUUAACUUUCCAUACAGUUGAAAGAUAUUUGGCUUAUAAUCUGUUUCCAGGAUAUAAUUCUUAUUAAUUUAUAUUUUUGGGGGCGGAAGUUAUAUUGUUAUUGUUUAAAAAAUAUAUAGAUGAGAGGAAUGUGAUUAUUUUAUGAAAAAAAAUUAUGGAAUUUCAUUAAAGAUAUUUCCAUCUCUUUUUUUGCUGUUGUUGUUGCCACAAAUGAAGUAAUUCCUGGUUUCCUCCAAUGGAAAUAGGUGGGAAGUAAGGGUCAUAAAAAUGUCUCUGUCAUAAAAAUGUUAUGACUGUAGACCAAACAUAUCUUCAAAGACACACUGAAAGACAGCUGAAUGUUCUUCAAUGCAAGGUGUGAGCAGCAAACUUCAGACUACAGUUGGUCGGACAUAUUUCACCACAAGGGAAUUGUGGCUGAAAAAUGUUUCACUGAAAUUAUUUGCUUCCUUUUCCUUCUUCUUUAUUGCCAACUUGUAAAAGCGUAUGUCUUGAGACAGCCUUCACUGGAAAGCUUUCUUAAUCCAAGAUAAAAUUUUUCUUCUAAAUGAAAAAAAGGAGCCACCCAAAUUCCAUGUACUUCAGACACGCGCUUGAGACUUGCACUUGCAUCCAAGAGAAGGAGCCCAGCUACUAGACACUUGGCUACACUGAAGUAACACACUAAUGACAUUUUUGAGAGAUCAUGACCUUUCUGGAUGCAGUUUAGAAACAUGAGCUUCACCUCUUCCCGCACCCCCCACCCCCUCCCAGGUGGUGAUGAAACCACUUACCACACAUUCUAAGGAGAUUCUGAAAACAGAAUAGAGAAAAUAAAACUGAAAACACUUGUAAAACUGCGUCCCCUAAUUCAUGUCUAAAUUGGGUUUUCAGUGAUAAAAUGCUCUUUCAUUAAAAGAAAUACCUAUUAAAGUUGUUAUUCCUUAUUAUUCCUCCCCCAUCUUCUUCCCUCCCACCCCGCCAUGCUCUAACAGGACAUUUCCUGAAGGCAGGAGAAGGAACUGCUCCCAGGACCAUUCUUUUGACAGAAAUCAAAAAGACUGCAUGCUAAUGAGUUCUUUUCUCUGAAAAUGAGCUCAUUACCGUUCAUUUUCUUCUGCUUUUAAUCUGUUCUUCAAGGGUGUUGUCUUUAAAAAUUUCAAAAGGCAUUUCACGAAUCUCUAACAAAAGCAAAGUUAAAAAAGUAGAUUCCCUCUAAUGAGAAACAUUGUCGUGCUUCAGUCACGAAGGUGGGAAUUUAAUUAUUGAAGAGAGGAAAGCAGGGAUGGGCCACGGAGCAGAGAAGAGAACUGGGAAAAUAAAUACAAAAUUAUAUAAAGGGAGAGAAAAAAGGAAAACUGAGAAGCCACAGAUGUUAAAUGAGGUGCACAACAAACUACAAUUUAGUACAAAUUACAGCUAUGCAUACUUUCCUGAUACACUGUACCCUGGCUGGGCUGAGAUUAUUUCUGAUGUUAUAAUUUAAUAGAAAUGAAUUCAUACAGCGGUAAACUGAAGGAUAAUUACUAAAUAAAUCUGAACUUUAACUGUUUCAAACUUUUCUUGGUCUGACUGCCUCUCUGCUGUCCACCACAUUGUGUAUUGAAGGUAAUACUUUAUUUUAGAGUUCUUACUUUCAUUUAAACCUUUCUAUUUACCUGUGUACAUCAAUGGGAUUUGAUGGAAUGACUUGACCUGUGACUAAAGUUGCUCAUCGAAUAACUUAGUAAAUUCUUUGAAGAAUCAGAUGUUACAUUAUAAAAUAG